GGGUUUACAGGGUUGGAACUUUCAGCCCUAGCCCCACCCCUAGAGAGGAGAGAUGUCUUGGACUUGAUCCAUCAUGAGUGUGUAUGGAAGCCUCCAUAAAAAAACAAAAGGAGGGGGUUCAGAGGGUUCCAGUAAUGUUUUAGCAAAAGCACUAAAAAGAGGAAUGAUGAGUUCUAAUUACUUUAGGAAAGAGUCCAUUUUCUCUCUUCUACCCUCCUUGACAUGAGAAGGACAAAGUAGACAAACAGGCAUACCAACACACUGAGACAGUGUUACAGUCGACACAUCUGUUCAACCAAGGCAAAAGCAGCAAUUCAGAGACAUACCUAACUAAAGGAAACUGCAUUUUUAUGUAAUUACUCAUGAUUUUGUAAUGGUGUGAAAGAAUUGAAUCUCAAGAUCAAGUGACAUCCAAUGGCCCAAAGAUAAAAAUCUCUCCAGAAAAGUAGAAGAGAAAGAAAAAUUUUUGUUGGGAUAUAACAACGAGGAGCAGGCAAGAAAUAGCAUACUUUCAAAACAGUCACUUGAUUUCAAACCUCUCUGCACUAACUCAUCACUCCAUGAACCCUCUCAUCAAACUACAACAGAAUUAUCCCCCUAGAACCCAGCUGGCAGAGGGGUCUGGGGAAUGCACUAUUCUGAAUCCCCACCUCUGCACCCUACAGAAAAAGAGGAGAGUGAGUUUAAGAAUAAGAAACAGAGCUGCUGGCUUGAUAAAACAAUGAAAGAGCCUUUGGAAGGAGUAUCUUAGGUACCAUCUUGGAGAAAAUACCCUAUGACACAUGGACCCAUCAUCCAGGAUGCAAGUAUACCAUCAAUGCUAUAGCAAAUCACUCAGUAGAUGAGCUAGGGAGUCAACUGAGCAUUUGCUUGUAACAGAUCCUAAAGAGCAAAUAUUAAAACAAUCUUCUGAAGUAUCAUCUAUUUAACAAGAGUUGCCUGAGGAAAGUAGGCUGCCCACCCCUGGAGACCCUAUCUUCAGCUUACUUAAAAUGCAAACCAACUUGCCACAGUCCUGACCUACUCGCUCCAAUUUCUGAAUGUCAAACACUUAGAGCAAUUGUUGGCUGUCAGAGUAUGAAGUCUGUGGAAGCAGAGAAACUGGACAUUUGGCAUUUCAGCAUUCUGAAAUAUCUAACUGACCCAGUAACUUUUAAUGAAAAGAUCAUACUUUGCCCACUUCACUGCAGUGUCAUCUUUGUUACAGACUACAAUGAAGGUCUAUUACAGGACUCUCUUCUAUUCCACCGGUCUAUUUGCCUGUUCUUAUGUCAAAAACACACUGGCUUAAUCAAUUAGUUCUGCGAAAUCUUAAUAGGAAGAGGUUCCUAUUAAAAUGACUAUUACAAAAAGUUA